GAUGAACGCUGGCGGCGUGCCUAAUACAUGCAAGUCGAGCGAACAGACGAGGAGCUUGCUCCUCUGACGUUAGCGGCGGACGGGUGAGUAACACGUGGAUAACCUAUCUAUAAGACUGGGAUAACUUCGGGAAACCGGAGCUAAUACCGGAUAAUAUAUUGAACCGCAUGGUUCAAUAGUGAAAGACGGUUUUGCUGUCACUUAUAGAUGGAUCCGCGCCGCAUUAGCUAGUUGGUAAGGUAACGGCUUACCAAGGCGACGAUGCGUAGCCGACCUGAGAGGGUGAUCGGCCCCACUGGAACUGAGACACGGUCCAGACUCCUACGGGAGGCCGCAGUAGGGACUCUUCCGCAAUGGGCGAAAGCCUGACGGAGCAACGCCGCGUGAGUGAUGAAGGUCUUCGGAUCGUAAAACUCUGUUAUUAGGGAAGAACAAAUGUGUAAGUAACUAUGCACGUCUUGACGGUACCUAAUCAGAAAGCCACGGCUAACUACGUG
rnacentral:rRNA from 1 species